rnacentral:rRNA from 1 species
UAUAUAAGUAACCUACCUUGUGGAUUGGAAUAACGUAGAGAAAUUUGCGCUAAUACCGAAUGAUGCAGCGGCACCGCAUGGUGAUGUUGUUAAAGUCAUUUAUGGCGCCACAAGAUGGGCUUGUAUUCGAUUAGCUAGUUGGUGGGGUAAUAGCCCACCAAGGCAACGAUCGAUAGCUGGUCUGAGAGGAUGAUCAGCCACACUGGAACUGAGACACGGUCCAGACUCCUACGGGAGGCAGCAGUGAGGAAUAUUGGGCAAUGCCCGCAAGGGUGACCCAGCAACGCCGCGUGGAGGAUGAAUGCCGUAAGGUUGUAAACUCCUUUUGGAGGGGACGAAAAAAUAAGUUGGUAGCUUAUAUUGACUGUACCCUCAGAAAAAGCCCCGGCUAACUACGUG